rnacentral:rRNA from 1 species
CACGUAUCCAACCUACCGGUUAUCCCGGGAUAGCCUUUCGAAAGAAAGAUUAAUACCGGAUAGUAUAACGAGAAGGCAUCUUUUUGUUAUUAAAGAAUUUCGAUAACCGAUGGGGAUGCGUUCCAUUAGUUUGUUGGCGGGGUAACGGCCCACCAAGACAUCGAUGGAUAGGGGUUCUGAGAGGAAGGUCCCCCACAUUGGAACUGAGACACGGUCCAAACUCCUACGGGAGGCAGCAGUGAGGAAUAUUGGUCAAUGGACGAGAGUCUGAACCAGCCAAGUAGCGUGAAGGAUGACUGCCCUAUGGGCUGUAAACUUCUUUUAUAUGGGAAUAAAGUGAGCCACGUGUGGCUUUUUGUAUGUACCAUACGAAUAAGGA